rnacentral:lncRNA from 1 species
AUUAAAACUACAACACCCAAUUGAUAACAAGAUAUUUCCAUGAUUGUUAUCAAGUUUCAAAAAAGAGUAAAACCAUAAUAUUAAGAGAAAUAAAAUAACUUAGUUGAUAAUAACUAGUAAGUGAGGAUCAAAAUAUUCACCAUUGUCCGAAUCUUGUCACUUACAAUCACAAUUUCUGCUGAAGAAUAAUUACUAGUAGAAUGGAGAAACACUUGGCAGUUUUGUUGUUGAGUAGAAGAUGAGGAUAGUCCUUAAACUUCCCCAGAAAAUUAAGAAGAAACCACUAUCCAAUGGAAAUAUCACUUCAGCAAAAUCUUCAUUACAGAUGGAGACAAAUAGUAUAUAAUACAAUCACAGAAAAAUAAGAAAUGCAUGCAAUUGCAACAAAAACUGCAGCACGAUCAGAAAUGUGUCACAUGGAGCAUACUGGCUGUGACUUUUUUACACAACAUUCAGUGUCAUAUAUAGGUAUCAUCACCCAAACUCUGUCGCAAAGAAUAGAAGAACAUAAAAAAAAUAUAGUCAAGGGAGAAAUUGACUAUGGCACUAGCAGUAGAAGCUUAUAGUAAGAACUUACACAUACACUGGAACAGUGUAGAAAUUAUAAAACCGAUCAAAAGAACAAAGCAGGCUCUAACAAUUAAAAUGCUAGAGAUACAGAGGAGACAGAAGAGAAAAGAAUUAUUAAAUGAUAGGCCACUGCUGGAACUCCCUCCUGCAUGGACUUAUGUGGUUGAAACAUUAGAUAAUAAUGAUAGUGAAGGAAAAAAAGGGUUACUAACACUUUAUACCAAAUAAGGAAAUAUACCUCACAUGAUGAUAAUAAUAUAAAAG